ACGACAUCGUUUUGGCGACCGCUAACGAUCCACCUUCCCUCGGAUUCGACGAUCCUAUUGGUUCAACUCUGCACCGCAUUUACCACCACCAGCACCCUCCCGCCAUGUAUUUAUGAUCGCCACUCCACCACUCCACCGCUCCGCCACUCCACCGCUCUACUCCCUUCUCCCGGCUGCUAGGGUUUCCGAUUCCCAAAUGUCGCAGACCCAUUUCAGCAAGGGCGACGAAGUCGAGGUCGUCACGAAGCCCUCCCGCGGUUCCACCGGGCCGUACUACCCCGCGACGGUGCGCCGCCCCGUGGUCAAGGACAAGGCCCACAUUUUAGUCCAGUACCAAACCCUGACGACCCCCAACGCCGUCAGCCCCAGACUCCUCCAGGAGAUAGUCGAAUUAGGCAAUGUGAGGCCCGCACCGCCGAGGGAGCUCUACCAGUUCUUCAAGGUGGGCGACGACGUCGACGCCUACAGAGAAAAUGGGUGGUCUCGCGGGACUGUGACGGACAUUCUGGAGAACUCCAAGUACUUAGUUGCGCUGCGGGGUGAGGAAUUUGAGUGCGAGCAGUGUGAUUUGAGGAUUCACAGAGACUGGGAUGAUGGCUCUUGGGUCCCUCCUUUUCAAGAAGAGAAUAGUUCGUCUGGGAUGGUGGUGAAAUCUAGAAAGUUAAUAUUGAAAUUUAAGUGCGGCAAGAAACCAUUGGGAGCAAGCUUUGAAAACGGGACUGUGGUGGAGGUCAGCAGCGACGAGGAAGGCUACAAGGAUGCUUGGUACACUGCUAAAAUAAUUGAUCAUGUAGGAAAUAACAAGUAUCUGGUGGAAUACCUGUACCUGGUAACGGAUGACGGGACAAGGGAUCCCUUGAGAGAAGAAGCAUGUGCAAGUUAUAUUAGACCUUGUCCUCCUGCACUUCCAUCGGUUGCUCAUUUCAAAGUGCUCCAGAAAGUCGAUGCUUGGUACAAUGAGGGAUGGUGGGAGGGCACCGUUUCCAAAGUUCUUGGCGGCUUAAUGUAUGUUGUCUAUUUCAGCUCCACCAAUGAAGAAUUAAUGUUUGAACAUUCCAAUUUGAGGCCUCGACAGGACUGGAUUAACGGACAAUGGAUCCCUGCUUAAAUGGUGACCUAAAACGGACAUGAUCACGAAGAGUUCGCUGACAUAAGGAAAUAGGAAAAAGAAAGAAGCAAAGGAGACUUAUCGACUAUGUACUUCGUAGCGCUUCUUCGAUUGUUAAUGAAAAUUCAGGUGAGUUGGGAUGCAGAGCUGAAGAUGCAGAAAACUAUGCCAAUGUUCAGCAGGGUAACAAAGGUACAAGUAAAUAGUGAUGAAAAUUACCAUUUUCCAUGGUUCUUUGACACUUCCGACGUCUUUGGAUUUAUAGCUAAUAACAAGAUUUUCGGAAACUCAGAUAAUAGAUAGUCUUCUUCGAUCAUAUGACCUUGUCAUUCCUCUGCAACACAUAUAAGGAUUGUUAGGAAUGUCUGAUUGCUUGUAAUCCCACGAUAGUACCGAAGUUAUUUUCUGCUACUACAAUGUCAGGGACAUAUGCGCAAAUAGAACACGUUAUAAAUAAAAAAUUGAACUAGAGGGUCUCUAAACA